AUUGAACGCUGGCGGCAGGCCUAACACAUGCAAGUCGAACGAGCGGCGGACGGGUGAGUCAUGUCUGGGAAACUGCCUGAUGGAGGGGGAUAACUACUGGAAACGGUAGCUAAUACCGCAUACCAUCAGAUGUGCCCAGAUGGGAUUAGCUAGUAGGUGGGGUAAAGGCUCACCUAGGCGACGAUCCCUAGCUGGUCUGAGAGGAUGACCAGCCACACUGGAACUGAGACACGGUCCAGACUCCUACGGGAGGCAGCAGGGGGGAAUAUGGCACAAUGGGCGCAAGCCUGAUGCAGCCAUGCCGCGUGUAUGAAGAAGGCCUUCGGGUUGUAAAGUACUUUCAGUGGGGAGGCGUUACCCGCAGAAGAAGCACCGGCUAACUCCGUGCCAGCAGCCGCGGUAAUAC
rnacentral:rRNA from 1 species